rnacentral:rRNA from 1 species
GGCUGCCCCUUAAGUCUGGGAUAAGCCUGGGAAACUGGGUCUAAUACCGGAUAGGAGCGCCUACCGCAUGGUGGGUGUUGGAAAGAUUUAUCGGUUUUGGAUGGACUCGCGGCCUAUCAGCUUGUUGGUGAGGUAAUGGCUCACCAAGGCGACGACGGGUAGCCGGCCUGAGAGGGUGACCGGCCACACUGGGACUGAGACACGGCCCAGACUCCUACGGGAGGCAGCAGUGGGGAAUAUUGCACAAUGGGCGCAAGCCUGAUGCAGCGACGCCGCGUGAGGGAUGACGGCCUUCGGGUUGUAAACCUCUUUCAGUAGGGAAGAAGCGAAAGUGACGGUACCUGCAGAAGAAGCACCGGCUAACUACGUGCCAGCAGCCGCGGUAAUACGUAGGGUGCGAGCGUUAUCCGGAAUUAUUGGGCGUAAAGAGCUCGUAGGCGGUUUGUCGCGUCUGUCGUGAAAGUCCGGGGCUUAACCCCGGAUCUGCGGUGGGUACGGGCAGACUAGAGUGCAGUAGGGGAGACUGGAAUUCCUGGUGUAGCGGUGGAAUGCGCAGAUAUCAGGAGGAACACCGAUGGCGAAGGCAGGUCUCUGGGCUGUAACUGACGCUGAGGAGCGAAAGCAUGGGGAGCGAACAGGAUUAGAUACCCUGGUAGUCCAUGCCGUAAACGUUGGGCACUAGGUGUGGGGACCAUUCCACGGUUUCCGCGCCGCAGCUAACGCAUUAAGUGCCCCGCCUGGGGAGUACGGCCGCAAGGCUAAAACUCAAAGGAAUUGACGGGGGCCCGCACAAGCGGCGGAGCAUGCGGAUUAAUUCGAUGCAACGCGAAGAACCUUACCAAGGCUUGACAUGUUCUCGAUCGCCGUAGAGAUACGGUUUCCCCUUUGGGGCGGGUUCACAGGUGGUGCAUGGUUGUCGUCAGCUCGUGUCGUGAGAUGUUGGGUUAAGUCCCGCAACGAGCGCAACCCUCGUUCCAUGUUGCCAGCACGUCGUGGUGGGGACUCAUGGGAGACUGCCGGGGUCAACUCGGAGGAAGGUGAGGACGACGUCAAAUCAUCAUGCCCCUUAUGUCUUGGGCUUCACGCAUGCUACAAUGGCCGGUACAAUGGGNUUGCGAUACUGUGAGGUGGAGCUAAUCCCAAAAAGCCGGUCUCAGUUCGGAUUGGGGUCUGCAACUCGACCCCAUGAAGUCGGAGUC